rnacentral:lncRNA from 10 species
AUGGAAGAUUCUCACAAGUGUAACACAUCAGAGACAGCAUCUCAACCUGGUUCAGCAGUUCAGGGAGCUCAUAUUUCUCAUAUUACUAAACAGAUGGCACUAAGAUGAUCUGUACUAAUGACAAUGGUACCUCUUCCUGGAGAGCAAGUACAGGUUCAGGGUGUCAUCCAGACAGCUCAGUCUUCUGUAAUUCACCCACCACAUGUGCCAAUAGUAUGAUCUUUAUCAGAAGGUGAGGAGUCUCAGGACCCAUCUGACAGCUUAGGCUCUUUACAGAAAGCCUACAGGAUCCUAGCACGGCAUUCAUCUUACAGAAAAAUUUUAAAAGACCUAUCUUCUGAAGAUAUAUGGGGCAGAAAAGGAGAUGGAGAAAACCCUGGAGUUUUUGCUGUCACUUCUGUCUGUUCCCACUCCUAUCUAUCAGAAGGGCAGCAAAUAGUACAUUGCCAUUGUCUCAAGUGGAGACUCACCAUUGGCCAGUUCAGGCACAGCUGGAGUACAGAGACUUCAGACAUAAUUAACCAUGACAAAUUCAGGCAAUACUCAGCAAGGUACAACUAUUCUCCAGCAUAUGCAGGUCCCUGAUGGACAGCAAAUACUUGCAUCCAGCAAUCAGUUGGUUGUACAGACUGCAUCAGGUGAUAGGCAGAUAUAUCAGAUCCAAACUGCCUUCAACUACUUCUCUGCCACAAACUAUGAUGAUGACAUCUCCUGUGACUCUUACAUACCAAACAAAUAAGACAGAAGACCCCCAGUUGAAAGGAGAAAUAAGGUUAAUGAAAAACAGGAAAGCCACUUCAGAAUAUCAAAGGAGAAAGAAAGAAUAUGUGAAAGGCCUAGAAAAUUGAGUUAUAGUUAUGAAAAAUAAAAAUAAAACUCUAAUAGAAGAGUUAAAAACUGAAGAAUAUUGAUUUGAAUAAAAGUGCU